AUUGAACGCUGGCGGCAUGCCUUACACAUGCAAGUCGAACGGUAGAGUAGCAAUACUUGAGAGUGGCGAACGGGUGAGUAAUAUAUCGGAACGUGCCCAGUCGUGGGGGAUAACGUAGAGAAAUUUACGCUAAUACCGCAUACGAUCUAAGGAUGAAAGCGGGGGAUUCGCAAGAACCUCGCGCGAUUGGAGCGGCUGAUAUCAGAUUAGGUUGUUGGUGAGGUAAAAGCUCACCAAGCCGACGAUCUGUAGCUGGUUUGAGAGAACGACCAGCCACACUGGGACUGAGACACGGCCCAGACUCCUACGGGAGGCAGCAGUGGGGAAUUUUUGGACAAUGGGCGAAAGCCUGAUCCAGCAAUGCCGCGUGCAGGAAGAAGGCCUCGGUUGUAAC
rnacentral:rRNA from 1 species